rnacentral:misc_RNA from 1 species
GAAAUGCGAUAAGUAAUGUGAAUUGCAGAAUUCAGUGAAUCAUCGAAUCUUUGAACGCACAUUGCGCCCGCCAGUAUUCUGGCGGGCAUGCCUGUCCGAGCGUCAUUUCAACCAUCAAGCCCCCGGGCUUGUGUUGGGGACCUGCGGCUGCCCGCAGGCCCUGAAAACCAGUGGCGGGCUCGCUGUCACACCGAGCGUAGUAGCAAUCACCUCGCUCAGGGCGUGCUGCGGGUUCCGGCCGUUAAACAGCCUUACAAAACCCAAGGUUGACCUCGGAUCAGGUAGGGAGACCCGCUGAACUUAAGC